GGGCCGGUUGAGGGGCUCCUGCCGCCCUCGGGGCCGCCCCGCAGGCGAGCGGCAAAGCCAAGGCACCUGUGGCCAGCGCAGCCCCAGCCCGGGGUCGGGCAGCCGGGUCGGUGUUCCCUGGCAGGCACAUGUGUUACCAAUAAAGAUCUGGGGGUGCGUGUGGCAUUUCAGGGCAGCGGUGGCUGAAGCGCGGCGGCCCCAGAGCUCUCGCAGCUGCCGUUCCCAGCCCGUGGGGGAAGGAGGGCUACAGAGCCCUGAUGUGUGCGAGUUCCAUGGUGGGGAAGUCCUGAAGAACUCCAGAGAGGGGCUUCCAUUGUGAUGUAGACAUGCAGAACCUGUCCUGUUCUGUUGUGAUGGAGCCUGCAGAACCCCACUGUGAGUUCCUUGGGAUGCAGGUGUGCAGAGCCCAGUGCAGGAUCCCCAUUGGGAUGAAGCAAAUAGCUCGUGUUGCUUGAAGUAUUCAAACCCUGCUAAAAUGUCUGAAGUCAAAGAUACAGCUUUGCAUUCGCUGAAAGCUAUUCACCCGGAAUAUGCACCCGGAGCUAUUUGGCCAGGGAGGUUAAUUGGAGGAAAGUGACUGUACAUCGGGCCCAAGAGCCUCCUACAGAGAUACUUGGCACAAAUAAAUCAGCCUAUUUUUGAUGAAUAA